ACUGUCCCUAUCUACUAUCUAGCGAAACCACAGCCAAGGGAACGGGCUUGGCAGAGUCGGCGGGGAAAGAAGACCCUGUUGAGUUCGGGUGUAGUCGGCUUUUGCGAAGAGGUUUGAGGGGUGUAGAAUAGGUGGGAGAGUCCUCGCGGCUCGCCGGUGAAAUACCACUACUCUCGUAAUCUCUUUGCUUAUCCGGUUGAACGGUGAAUAGCGGCGUCGGCUCUACUCGAGGCGGCGUCCGCGAUGAGUGUGGAAUUGAAGGCGGACGGCGGCGGCGUCGGCAACCCCGGCGUCGUCGGCACAACCGACCGUCGAUCCCGUUCGGAGACAGUUUCCGAUGGGCACCUUGACUGGGGCGGUACAUUUGUCAAACGGUAACGCAAGUGUCCUAAGGUCAGCUCAGCGGGGACGGAAACCCCGCGUAGAGCAAAAGGGCAAAAGCUGACUUGAUUUUGAUUUUCAGUACGAAUACAGACCACGAAAGUGUGGCCUAUCGAUCCUUUUGUUCAGUUUGCGAGUUUCAAACAAGAGGUGUCAGAAAAAUUACCACAGGGAUAACUGGCUUGUGGCAGCCAAGCGUUCAUAGCGACGUUG
rnacentral:rRNA from 1 species